UUUCACUUUCAUGUUUCCCUCACAAGUUAGAAAAUGCAAGAGAAAAACAAUUCCAAGAAAAGAAAACGCAUAGAAGUAAAAUAAGCUCUGAGAGGUGAUAGCAAGAAUACUUGCUUUAUAGCGUAUAUCAAAUUGAUAGUUAUUGUAUGUACACACACACACACGCCAGAAUACAAACAAAAGACAUUGAAACAACACCCAGCAAAACUCUUCCCUAUACCAUCUCUUUCUUCUCCCUCUCCCCAACAAUGGAAUGACCCUUUCCCUGUU
rnacentral:misc_RNA from 1 species